GCGCAUCAGCCAUGGCGCGGUGAAUACGUUCCCGGGCCUUGUACACACCGCCCGUCAAGCCAUGGGAGUCGGGAGUGCCUGAAGUUCGUGACCGUAUAGGAGCGACCUAGGGCAAGACUGAUGACUGGGGCUAAGUCGUAACAAGGUAGC
rnacentral:rRNA from 1 species